ensembl:lncRNA
GUGACGAGCACGGGAGAGCGCGCGCGCUACAGGCGCAGCUGAUGGGUUUUUCUGCGGCGCGCGGAAGGUAAACAGUUGGCUACAAACCACUGCUGACAAAUGUUAUUUGGGAUAAAUGAUCUCCAAAUGAUCAUUUUCUCUGGAAUAAACAAUAAAUCAUUGAUCUGAAACGUCGGAGCCUGAACUUCAAACACAGUAAAGAAAUGCAUACAAGUUUGGAACAACAUGAGGAUUUGAACUGCUGGAUCCAACCGUGGUUACACAGGAUUUGAACCGGAGCUCCUCACCUCUCAAGUACACCUCCGUACUCCUUGAGCUACCGAACAAACCUACUGCCUAUGAAAACCCAUAGAUAUGAAGCUGGAUGCGUGCUAUGCUAACAUUCAAAAG